AAUAGAGAAAUAACGCUGAUGAUUGUGGAUAACUCUGUGCGUAAAAAGGUAUAAAGCGGGGUUUUGCUGGGGAAUGCAGCAGUCAGUCAUUUUUCUGCAAUUUUUCUAUUGCGGCCUGCGGAGAACUCCCUAUAAUGCGCCUCCAUCGACACGGCGGAUGUGAAUCACUUCACACAAACAGCCGGUUCGGUUGAAGAGAAAAAUUCUGAAAUUCAGGGUUGACUCUGAAAGAGGAAAGCGUAAUAUACGCCACCUCGCGACAGUGAGCUGAAAGCCGCGUCGCAACUGCUCUUUAACAAUUUAUCAGACAAUCUGUGUGGGCACUCGAAGAUACGGAUUCUUAACGUCGCAAGACGAAAAAUGAAUACCAAGUCUCAAGAGUGAACACGUAAUUCAUUACGAAGUUUAAUUCUUUGAGCAUCAAACUUUUAAAUUGAAGAGUUUGAUCAUGGCUCAGAUUGAACGCUGGCGGCAGGCCUAACACAUGCAAGUCGAACGGUAACAGGAAGAAGCUUGCUUCUUUGCUGACGAGUGGCGGACGGGUGAGUAAUGUCUGGGAAACUGCCUGAUGGAGGGGGAUAACUACUGGAAACGGUAGCUAAUACCGCAUAACGUCGCAAGACCAAAGAGGGGGACCUUCGGGCCUCUUGCCAUCGGAUGUGCCCAGAUGGGAUUAGCUAGUAGGUGGGGUAACGGCUCACCUAGGCGACGAUCCCUAGCUGGUCUGAGAGGAUGACCAGCCACACUGGAACUGAGACACGGUCCAGACUCCUACGGGAGGCAGCAGUGGGGAAUAUUGCACAAUGGGCGCAAGCCUGAUGCAGCCAUGCCGCGUGUAUGAAGAAGGCCUUCGGGUUGUAAAGUACUUUCAGCGGGGAGGAAGGGAGUAAAGUUAAUACCUUUGCUCAUUGACGUUACCCGCAGAAGAAGCACCGGCUAACUCCGUGCCAGCAGCCGCGGUAAUACGGAGGGUGCAAGCGUUAAUCGGAAUUACUGGGCGUAAAGCGCACGCAGGCGGUUUGUUAAGUCAGAUGUGAAAUCCCCGGGCUCAACCUGGGAACUGCAUCUGAUACUGGCAAGCUUGAGUCUCGUAGAGGGGGGUAGAAUUCCAGGUGUAGCGGUGAAAUGCGUAGAGAUCUGGAGGAAUACCGGUGGCGAAGGCGGCCCCCUGGACGAAGACUGACGCUCAGGUGCGAAAGCGUGGGGAGCAAACAGGAUUAGAUACCCUGGUAGUCCACGCCGUAAACGAUGUCGACUUGGAGGUUGUGCCCUUGAGGCGUGGCUUCCGGAGCUAACGCGUUAAGUCGACCGCCUGGGGAGUACGGCCGCAAGGUUAAAACUCAAAUGAAUUGACGGGGGCCCGCACAAGCGGUGGAGCAUGUGGUUUAAUUCGAUGCAACGCGAAGAACCUUACCUGGUCUU
rnacentral:rRNA from 1 species